CCACUUGGUACCUCUUUUGUUGUUUGGUCCUUGUCUUUCUGUGACUUGUACAUGGCUUGUGCCUGUACUAUGUGCAUUGCAUGUUAUCACAUAGCUGCUAGUACCCAUGCUCUCACAUGUUUCUUUUCUCUUUUAGCUUGGUGUGCUUCUGGAGUUCUGCUCCUGUUUUUCCGAGGUUCCAUAUCCUGCUUCUUGCCUCUUCCUCUACCUGUUCAGCUGUUUAUUGCACUGUACAAUAUUCUCAUUGGUUGGUUGUUUUGCGAUUUAACUCCUUGUUUGUUUAUUAAAAGUUAUACUUUACCUUCACCAAGUCUAGGCGAAUCCCCAGUUAUGUCCAGAUUCCACUGUGGGUAAUAUACAGAAUGAAGUUGCUAAACUCUCAAGAUUAAAACAGUGUAUUUAAGAAAAGCUUAAUUUAAGAGGAUGGAUUGUUGUGCAGAUAGUGCAAGGAGGAGCUCAGAAAUCACAGAAACUGCUGUUUGCCCAAGACCAAAUUGUGAUAAGAAGAUUAUUAAUGCACAAUAAUGUAAGUAGGAUAAUUGGAAUAGAAUUGUACAACUUUGAUGAAUAGGAUCAUUACAAAAAUAUUGACAGAUGGUAAAAAGCCUUAUCUCAUUUAUAAUCACUUAGUAAAGUGGGGUGGUGUUAUGGGCAAAUGCAAAUAUUACAAGUUUUAGAAUGAAAUGUUGUAUUUCUUAAACUGGGUACUUUGUCUUUAAGAGAUAUUGCAAACUGACAGGGUGUUAGAAAUGGAACAUAUUGUUUUUCAUAACUGUUUCUUUAAGCAAAAACCAUAAUAUGUUUGCGCCAUUUUGUCCCAGACGAAUUACAAUAACAAUAAUGCAUAAACAAGCUUCAAGGCUAUACUACGACUCUUGCAGUACACAAUAUACUGUAGUAACCUUAAGUAGAUAAGGAUGUCCAGACUUUUAGAUGCCAUCUUAAACUAAGUCAGGAAAAUUUCCAUGACGUAUACACCCUUUAGUUAUGGCCUUGUAUGUUUGCCAAGUUAAGGGAGGUCCUAAAAUGAAUAAAGUAAAAGAAG